rnacentral:rRNA from 1 species
GACGAACGCUGGCGGCGUGCCUAAUACAUGCAAGUCGAGCGGAUGAAAGAGGAGCUUGCUCCUCUAGAUUCAGCGGCGGACGGGUGAGUAACACGUGGGCAACCUGCCCUGUAGAUUGGGAUAACUCCGGGAAACCGGGGCUAAUACCGAAUAAUCCUUCGGACCUCAUGGUCCGAUGUUGAAAGACGGUUUCGGCUGUCACUUCAGGAUGGGCCCGCGGCGCAUUAGCUAGUUGGUGAGGUAACGGCUCACCAAGGCCACGAUGCGUAGCCGACCGGAGAGGGUGAUCGGCCACACUGGGACUGAGACACGGCCCAGACUCCUACGGGAGGCAGCAGUAGGGAAUCUUCCACAAUGGACGAAAGUCUGAUGGAGCAACGCCGCGUGAGUGAAGAAGGUUCUCGGAUCGUAAAACUCUGUUGUGAGGGAAGAACAAGUACCGGAGUAACUGCCGGUGCCUUGACGGUACCUCAUUAGAAAGCCACGGCUAACUACGUGCCAGCCGCCGCCGUAA